rnacentral:lncRNA from 1 species
AUAACUACUCCAUGAAUCAGCCUGAGCAAGGAGGAGAUACCAAACACAGCAACCCAGCAAGAGGCAGUAUGGUCAAGUAGGACAUGUCCAGGCUCAGAAACAGAGGGCAUUUAUUCAGGAUCCACCACUUACACAAUCCAGGACAAGUUUUUACAUGUCUCCCUCACCUGAGAAACAAAGAGAAACCACACCUGCCCACCAACACGACUGAGAAGACUAAGAGAGCUAAUGUACAUUCUCAUAGGUCUGUUAUGAGAACAACAAGCCUCAGAACUCCCGCAGAUCUGCCCCGGCCUUUCCGACCUCCUGCCAGAAGAUGCCAGGGACCACACACCACACAGGGUUCCCCUACCCACAUCCACCCAGGAGUCAAAUUCCCACUAAGGCCUUCGCUUUCAGCGGACGCUCUGCUCACAGCACUCCCCUGACCCAGAACCAGGGGCGCCUGCAGCACACCACCUGCACACCAUCGACACAGACAGCCCAUACACACAGCUCACAAUGACUUCCUGCCCCAGCCCAUCCUCCUCCUUCCACCAACGAGGGAGAUCCAAUCUCUGCCCUGGUAGUUAUGAGCUUGAGUAAGCCACUGGGUCUCUCUGAGCUUCACUUCCUCACCUGGAAUAGGAUAAAAUGGCUUACAGAUUUAUUGUGAAUAAAAUGACACAGGGAACACCAAGAAAGAUGUCUGACUCAUGAGUAGACGCCACUCCCAAGAGCAGUCCUUGGGGUAGAGACCGUUGAUUCAAGUACACAAGCCUUAGGAAUUCUGCACAACUGAACUGGGUUAGAGUCCGUCUUUGCGGGACUCAUUUACGAGCUCUGCAUCCUUCCUAGGACCUCUUCAGUCAGGUACUUAAUAAACUAGAGACUCGGUUGGCUGCAUGUAGAGGACAGAAGAUGGCCAACAUGAUUUGUGGGCAUUUCAGGGAUGAGCUGGCUUACAAAGGCACCAUGGUCCAGCGCGCUACAUGUGAAUGCGUCUUUCCCUAGAACCACAACUCCACAGGCUCAGCCACUCUACUGUUAUUGUACUUAAUGAAGCCUGUUUAUUUAUUUACUUAUCCAAGGGAGCCCAAAACCAGGUACACCAGGCUGGCAAAGACCCCAUUGUAUAAUGUGAUCAGAUUCAGUUAUAUCACACAGUUCAUGAAAUUCUGCUAUGAUUCAUUUUUACAACUUAAAUAGCUAUUUGGUUGGGUUGCCAGGUUGAACAUGAUGAAUGUGUAUGAUAAAAAAGAACAAAGAGAAGGGCUAGGGCCUGUAAACUGAAACAUUAGUCGGCGCAUUAACCCCUUCGCUCCUUAAUUGCAAUGUCUCUUGGGGGCAGCUGUCCCAUGGCCACCCUUCUCCAACCCUCAUGCCUAGUAUCCUAUCUGUGCCACUGCCAAGAGUGAUGAUUUCACCUUCUCCCCAGCAAGGAAAAAGCCUCCUCCAAAAGGGUCACCAUCCAUUCCAUCCUAAUAUGUGCCUCAGGACAAGUGCACAAAAUCACAGGAGUUCAUGAGUCCUCUGUCCAAGUCUGAUCACUUCCCAGAUCCCUAACUUACAUCCUACUCCUGAAUCCUAGAUGCAAACACAUAACUCAUGGCCAGAUUAACAUUCAUGGCAAUCACGACUGCUCAUUAUUCAAGGCCACGAGAGAUAAAGCUAGACCCAAAAGAAAUCACAUCAAUAAAAAAUUCUGCUGAAAUAACUUAUGGGACAAAACAGGACUUGUAUCAGCUAUAUCAAUGCAUUUCAUAUUUCACUGGAGAUUAUUUUUU